rnacentral:piRNA from 1 species
GCUAAGUGCUGUAGGCCUGUUGUC